rnacentral:rRNA from 1 species
UACGUAGGGAGCAAGCUUUGUCCGGAAUCAUUGGGCGUAAAGCGCGCGUAGGUGGCCCCAUAAGUCCGCUGUGAAAGUCAAAGGCUCAACCUUUGAAAGCCGGUGGAUACUGUGGGACUAGAGUACGGAAGAGGCGAGUGGAAUUCCUGGUGUAGCGGUGGAAUGCGCAGAUAUCAGGAGGAACACCAAUAGCGAAGGCAGCUCGCUGGGACGUUACUGACACUGAGGCGCGAAAGCGUGGGGAGCGAACAGG